rnacentral:misc_RNA from 1 species
GAUGGUUACUCUGAUGGUAAGAGUCAUUUGCUGUUAAUUUUAAUUUUAUUUGUCUUUUACUUGUCAUGAGAUCUUCUAUUUUCUUCUGCAUUGUCAACAUAUUUUUCCUUUACAUUGAUUAGUAAUUUACUAUUUAGGUUGUUGUCUGAUUAGAAUCCUAGUAAUCAUGUUAUGAAUGACAGAAAUAGUGUAUAUAUAUUUCUUCUUCUCAAGUUCUUGAUUAUGUUCUUUGAUGUCUAUGAUAUGUGAGAAAACUAUGCAAAUGGAAUAACAGAUACGUGUUGUUACUGUAAUGAAGCAUGUAGAAUUGUUGGGCUUCUUUGUAUUCUAUACAAUGUUGGAGCAGUUGUAACGGUGUACAACAACUAUUUAGAGGAAAGACGCUUUUUAAAUGAUUUCUAAUGCCUAAUCUAGGUCAAAAACCUUGAUUUCCAAGU